rnacentral:rRNA from 1 species
UACGUAGGGGGCGAGCGUUGUCCGGAUUCAUUGGGCGUAAAGGGCGCGCAGGCGGCCGGGCAGGUCGCGCGUGCAAGCUCCGGGCUCAACCCGGAGAGGCCGCGCGAAACCGUCGGGCUGGAGGCCGGCAGGGGGGAGCGGAAUUCCCGGUGUAGUGGUGGAAUGCGUAGAGAUCGGGAGGAACGCCGGUGGCGAAGGCGGCUCCCUGGGCCGGCCCUGACGCUGAGGCGCGAAAGCGUGGGGAGCGAUCCGG